GAUGAACGCUGGCGGCGUGCUUAACACAUGCAAGUCGAACGGAUUUAAUGAAGCUUGCUUUCGGUUAAAUUAGUGGCGGACGGGUGAGUAACGCGUGGAUAACCUGCCGUAUACAGGGGGAUAACACUUAGAAAUAGGUGCUAAUACCGCAUAAGCGCACAGUUUCGCAUGAGACAGUGUGAAAAACUCCGGUGGUAUACGAUGGAUCCGCGUCUGAUUAGGUAGUUGGUGGGGUAACGGCUCACCAAGCCGACGAUCAGUAGCCGGCCUGAGAGGGUGAACGGGCCACAUUGGGACUGAGACACGGCCCAAACUCCUACGGGAGGCAGCAGUGGGGAAUAUUGCACAAUGGGGGAAACCCUGAUGCAGCGACGCCGCGUGAGUGAAGAAGUAUUUCGGUACGUAAAGCUCUAUCAGCAAGGAAGAAAUACCGACCUUUGGCCGCUAGACGGUACUUGACUAAGAAGCCCCGGCUAACUACGUG
rnacentral:rRNA from 1 species